rnacentral:rRNA from 1 species
GCUCAGAUUGAACGCUGGCGGCAGGCCUAACACAUGCAAGUCGAACGGUAACAGGAAACAGCUUGCUGUUUCGCUGACGAGUGGCGGACGGGUGAGUAAUGUCUGGGAAACUGCCUGAUGGAGGGGGAUAACUACUGGAAACGGUAGCUAAUACCGCAUAACGUCGCAAGACCAAAGAGGGGGACCUUCGGGCCUCUUGCCAUCGGAUGUGCCCAGAUGGGAUUAGCUUGUUGGUGGGGUAACGGCUCACCAAGGCGACGAUCCCUAGCUGGUCUGAGAGGAUGACCAGCCACACUGGAACUGAGACACGGUCCAGACUCCUACGGGAGGCAGCAGUGGGGAAUAUUGCACAAUGGGCGCAAGCCUGAUGCAGCCAUGCCGCGUGUAUGAAGAAGGCCUUCGGGUUGUAAAGUACUUUCAGCGGGGAGGAAGGGAGUAAAGUUAAUACCUUUGCUCAUUGACGUUACCCGCAGAAGAAGCACCGGCUAACUCCGUGCCAGCAGCCGCGGUAAUACGGAGGGUGCAAGCGUUAAUCGGAAUUACUGGGCGUAAAGCGCACGCAGGCGGUUUGUUAAGUCAGAUGUGAAAUCCCCGGGCUCAACCUGGGAACUGCAUCUGAUACUGGCAAGCUUGAGUCUCGUAGAGGGGGGUAGAAUUCCAGGUGUAGCGGUGAAAUGCGUAGAGAUCUGGAGGAAUACCGGUGGCGAAGGCGGCCCCCUGGACGAAGACUGACGCUCAGGUGCGAAAGCGUGGGGAGCAAACAGGAUUAGAUACCCUGGUAGUCCACGCCGUAAACGAUGUCGACUUGGAGGUUGUGCCCUUGAGGCGUGGCUUCCGGAGCUAACGCGUUAAGUCGACCGCCUGGGGAGUACGGCCGCAAGGUUAAAACUCAAAUGAAUUGACGGGGGCCCGCACAAGCGGUGGAGCAUGUGGUUUAAUUCGAUGCAACGCGAAGAACCUUACCUGGUCUUGACAUCCACAGAACUUUCCAGAGAUGGAUUGGUGCCUUCGGGAACUGUGAGACAGGUGCUGCAUGGCUGUCGUCAGCUCGUGUUGUGAAAUGUUGGGUUAAGUCCCGCAACGAGCGCAACCCUUAUCCUUUGUUGCCAGCGGUCCGGCCGGGAACUCAAAGGAGACUGCCAGUGAUAAACUGGAGGAAGGUGGGGAUGACGUCAAGUCAUCAUGGCCCUUACGACCAGGGCUACACACGUGCUACAAUGGCGCAUACAAAGAGAAGCGACCUCGCGAGAGCAAGCGGACCUCAUAAAGUGCGUCGUAGUCCGGAUUGGAGUCUGCAACUCGACUCCAUGGAGUCGGAAUCGCUAGUAAUCGUGGAUCAGAAUGCCACGGUGAAUACGUUCCCGGGCCUUGUACACACCGCCCGUCACACCAUGGGAGUGGGUUGCAAAAGAAGUAGGUAGCUUAACCUUCGGGAGGGCGCUUACCACUUUGUGAUUCAUGACUGGGGUGAAGUC